rnacentral:rRNA from 1 species
ACGGCCGUACCAUGCUGAAUAUACCGGUUCUCGUUAGAUCACCGAAGUCAAGCAUCAUUGGGCGUGGUCAGUACUUGGGUGGGUGACAACCUGGGAACAUCGCGUGCCGUU